CUUUUGUCAUUGUUGUCAUAGGAAUGGUAGCAAAAGGGGUUGAUUCCUACCUAACUCAGAUACCAGGAAACCCCAAAAUGGCAGAAAUUCAAGAGAUAGUGCUCAUGGGAACUUCCCAUAUCCUAUGU